GUUAAUUUAAUUUUCUAUAUGUUUUGUUGUUUGCAUAUAUAAUUAUGUCAGAUUUUUGUUUUUCUUUGACUUCUUUAAUUUAUUUUUCGGCGAGAUAUUGUGUCGGUAUAUCUACGACAUUAACGUGGACGUAAACACAAACAUGAAGCUUAAUCAAUUUCUCUUUACACUAAUCUUAGCAAUGUUUUCUCAAAUAAAAGAUUUUACAAAAUCAACUAUGACGGAUCAAAUACGCAAAUAGUUAUGUGAGUACAACAUAGAUCAUACAAGUUGUAUUUUAAAAAGAGUUGUAAUUGUAGCUUGAACAAAAAUUUUAUAUAAAA
rnacentral:sRNA from 1 species